UACGAAGGGGGCUAGCGUUGCUCGGAAUUACUGGGCGUAAAGCGCACGUAGGCGGCUUCUUAAGUCGGUGGUGAAAUCCUGGAGCUCAACUCCAGAACUGCCUUCGAUACUGGGAAGCUCGAGUCCGGGAGAGGUGAGUGGAACUGCGAGUGUAGAGGUGAAAUUCGUAGAUAUUCGCAAGAACACCAGUGGCGAAGGCGGCUCACUGGCCCGGUACUGACGCUGAGUGCGAAAGCGUGGGAGCAAGCAGG
rnacentral:rRNA from 1 species